rnacentral:misc_RNA from 1 species
GUAAAUUUGCACCAAGAGCGAGCUGAACAACGUUAAAAGUGUCUUAUUGCAAUUUUGUCAACUAUACCAAAUUAGCCAGCUGAGGGGGUUAGGGCAACUGGAAAUAUUACUGAACACUGUGGCCGAAGAAUAAGAUCAUUUGCAAAGAGGCAUUAUGGCAAGUGGUGGACCCCCUAUCGGGAGGGCAGGGAGAGCCGCCCAGUUGUUAAAAGCUGUACAACAGCCUGUUCGGAGACCAGGGGAGCAUGAGGAACAAGCCUCACCAGCCCCAGUGCCCCAGGCUCAGGGAGCUAAGGUUGAAUCACCAGCCCCUGUAGUGCCCGUAGGCAGGGGGCUCAUGAUGAAAAAGAUGCUGGAAGAGAAGAAAAAGAAGGAGGCUGAGAUGGCCCAACAAGGAGUUGAGGCUCCAAGGCCUGUUGGAAGAGGGGCAUUAGCCAUGCAGUCAUUGGCAAGUGCUCUACCAGUAACACCUGGGACCCCUCCUAGAGUGAAACAAGCAUCCCCACCCCAGAGAAUCUCCCCUCAGAAGCCAUCACCCCAGCAACAACAGACUCCAAGGCAAGCUACUCCUGGUCAGCCCCCUGCAGAACAGGAGAGAAAAUCUCGUCUGAUGUUUGCUCUGGAAAGGGAGGAGAGGCCAGGAGUUCAAAUGAAGGGAACUUCAGGCAAACAAAUACACCUGGCUACUAACUAUAUUAGAGUAGAAUCUUUGACGCCAGAGAUGUAUCAAUAUCAUGUGUCCUUUGAGCCAAAUGUAGACUCUAGGAACAUAAGGUUUAAACUACUCAAUCAGCACAGGGAUAUAAUGCCGUAUAAGGUCUUUGAUGGAGCAAUGCUGUUCCUUCCAUAUAAUUUGGGAAAGGAAAAAUUAUUGACAGCAGAACGUCACACUGAUGGAGCAAAGAUCACCAUCAAGUGCACUCUCACUAAAGUGGUGCCUCAUGAGCAGAACACUUUCAUCUUUAACAAUCUGUUCAAUAGAGUACUAGAAAAGCUGAAAAUGGUCCAGAUCGGUCGGCAUUACUAUGACCCUCAUCGACCAGCAGAUGUACCCCAACAUAGAUUGCAAGUGUGGCCAGGAUACAUCACUGCUAUUGAGAGGCAUGAGGGUGGUCUCCUAUUGCAGGCAGAUGUUUCUCAUAGAGUCCUCAGGACAGAGACUGUACUUGAUGUGCUGGACACACUGGUUAAGAGGUCCCCCCAAACUUUCCAAGAUGAGGCGGUUAAGCUCCUUGUAGGCACAACUGUAUUGACAAGAUACAAUAACAAGAACUACAGAGUAGAUGACAUAAAUUUCUCUAUGUCGCCUGAAGAUACCUUCGCCAAUUCCAAAGGGGAGGAGACUUCCUUUUUGGAAUAUUACCAGAGGGCCUAUGGUAAAGAAAUUCGGGACAGACACCAGCCAUUGCUUAUCAAUCGGCCAAAGAAACGAGAACAAGGAGCUCACCACCUGGAACAAAUAUGCCUCAUUCCGGAGUUGUGCUAUUGCACAGGGCUCACUGACAGUAUGAGACAAGAUAAUAGGGUUAUGAAAGACCUUGCCUCUCAUACCCGCAUCACACCCGAGAAAAGGAUAAUCGAACUGCGAAAAUUUAUUGAUGCCGUCACUUCCAACCCUGAGGUUGUGGCCAUGUUAGAGGGAUGGGGUCUGAGAUUACACUCCGACAUAAUGGACACCAGUGGGAGAACAUUACCUCCUGAGGACAUCCUCACUGGUGGUCGUUUAAUCAAAGGAACUGUCCAGGCUGAUUGGGGUCGUGACAUUGUCAGAAAUAAUGUCAUUCAAGCGGUGGACUUGAGGUGCUGGAUUGUAAUUGUUACAAACCGUGACCGCCAGAGGGGUCAAGAUUUUGUUGAGAACUGUGGUAGAUCAUGUGGGGCAAUGGGAAUACGAAUGGCCCAACCAAAUGUGAUAAUCAUUGAAAAUGACCGAACUGAGUCCUACCUUAAAGCAAUCAGGAAUUCCAUCAAUGAACAGGUUCAAAUGGUGGUGACCAUCUUCCCCACUCUGCGAGAAGAUAGAUACAGUGCUGUGAAGAAAUGUUGCAAUAUUGAGUGUCCUGUAGCGUCUCAGGUGAUCAUAUCGAAGACCAUUGGAGAUCCCAAGAAGUUGCGUAGUGUCUGCCAGAAGAUUCUAUUGCAGAUGAAUGCCAAAUUGGGAGGUGAACUCUGGGCUGUUGCCAUACCACCAAAAUCUUUGAUGGUGAUUGGUAUAGAUGUUUAUCAUGAUGGUAAAGGUAGCAAUAAGAGGUCUGUUGUUGGUGUUGUCUGUUCAAUCAACCAACGCCUCACUAAGUACUACAGCAGGGUAGCACACCAAAUGCCUGGAGAGGAACUGGUUGCUAAGCUGAAGCCCCUAGUCAUUGCUGCCCUCAGGAAAUACCACGAGGUAAAUCACUCUCUACCAGAGCGUAUUGUUCUGUUCCGUGAUGGUGUUGGAGAUGGCCAGCUUGACAUAGUAGGAGGCUAUGAGGUGUCUCAGCUUGCGGAGUGCUUCCCUGUUUUUGGUGAAGAGUACCAGCCAAAACUGACUGUUGUUAUUGUCCAGAAACGUAUCAACACAAGGAUGUUUGCCAUCCAGGGCAGGAACUUUGAGAAUGCUCCGCCAGGCACAGUGUUGGAUCAUUCAGUCACCAGGAGAGACAGGUAUGAUUUCUUCAUUGUGUCCCAGCACGUGAGACAGGGAACAGUCACCCCUACACAUUACAUUGUUGUCCAUGAUGAUUCAUCGUUCAAAACAGAUCAGCUUCAGAGGCUAACAUACAAGAUGACACAUCUCUACUAUAAUUGGCCUGGUACAGUCCGUGUACCUGCACCUUGCCAGUAUGCCCACAAACUAGCAUACCUGGUGGGUCAGAGUCUCCACAAGGAACCCAACAUUGCCCUGUGCAGCCGCCUCUUCUAUUUGUAAAUGAUGUGCUCAAACCACCAUGAUCUAUGCAAGAGAUGCUCGGAGCCAAAAUGCAUUUAUGCGGUAAAUGAACAUGGUUUAGCAAUGUGGUUGAGGGACCAAUCAGGAAGUGAUAGUCAUAUGGAUAUUAAAUGUCCCAUAUUUGGUGCUCGGCUUUUAAGAAACUGAAGGGAGAUUAAGCGCGUAUGAAACACUGGCGUGUACUUCCAGAAUAAGGCGGCAAUAACUAUGUAUUUGCAUAUGUACUUCAAGCGAGUUAUAAACACCUGGUUAUCUGACAAGUAUAAAUGAUCUCUGAUCUUAUUAUGAUCUUUGAUCAAACUGUGAUCUCAGAUCCAACAAUGUAUAUUGAUCUUGGAACCACUGAUGAUCUUGAAUUUCACUGAACCAUUUACCAAUAAGAAAAAUGGCUUGAUUAAUAAUCAUAUAUUUUUGGUGGUUCUAGCUUUGUGCAAAAUGAAAACAUGUACAUGAUGUAAAAUAGGAUAACGUGCCUUUGAACUGUACAUAGGUAUGUAAAUAAACAUAUUGUAUAUGGGUGUGAUAUUUAUUUUAAAUCUCGGGGAUAGUCUAUUUGAUCUGAAUACUAGAACCAAAGCUUGUGUUUUUAUUUUAAGAUAUGUGCACUCAGUAUUUGUUUUAUCUUAGUCUGUUAAGAAGUAUACGAUUUGUUUUAGGAAUAACUGAUUUUAGUUAAGUAUCAUUAUCAAGAAUGAUUCUUGUACACAUCGUCUGUGAUUCUCUAAGGUUGAAAUUAUUCAUUGUUUUCUUUUAAAUGGCUCAACCAAGGAAGAGGUGUACAUUAUAUUUAUUAUUUGAAAACUGAAAUACAAUGAAUAAAUUCAAUCAUAUUUUUGAACCUAUCAUACAUAGAUGUGAAAUGUUGGUAAACAAAAAGUAGCAUAAAAGAUUUUUGAUGAUUAUUGUAAGUGCAUACAUUAUUUAGAGAAAGUUGAAUUCAUGUACAUCAUUGUAGAGUAAAGAAUAUGGAAGAUUAGCAUGGGGAUGUACAUUUGAUCGAUAUGGUCAUUUUAUUUUAGAUAUAAGCUCUUCUCGGUAGACAGUAGCUAAUCUGUGGUUUUGAGUGCCUGAACUGAUCAAAAUACUUUUAUACUGAGCAAAAAUGGCAGAAACUUAAUUUUGUUAUCUCUAA